rnacentral:lncRNA from 1 species
GAAAGAAAUAUUUGGGAAGUCGCUUUGUUCUUUCUUCUAUCAAUCGUGGUUAUUGUUCAGCUGAAAUGUCGAAGAGGAGGUUGAUGGUGUGGGAGCUUGAUACCAUGCCUCAGGCUUCUCUUCCUUUCAGACUGGAGCUGUGAGCUGACAGCUGUGUGGCUUCUUGACUUUAGGUUGCCUCAGCAAGAAAAAUCCUUGGCAGAUCUGCACUGGCAGGCAGUUUCUGUUCAUGCAUACAGCAAAAGGCAUGGAGAGAUCAGGAGGUCUGCAGGAACUGACGUAUAAAGGAAAAGGAAGGAAACAUUUGGCCAUUUCCAUUUAUCUUGUCAUGCUGUGGUGCUUAACAGUAAGGGUCCUUGAACUCACCUGGCUCCAGGUUUUCCAUGAAAAUAGCUUCAGUUCAUUCUUUAACUCAUGGAAAAACACAAGUAAGUGAUCUAGUGUUAACCUAUGUGUAGCCAAGGGUAGUUAGAAAGUAACAAUGAUAUAAAAUGCUUUACUAGGAUAUAUCAUUUAAAAGCUCCAAGUUCUACAAAUUUUGAUUCUAUCUCCUUCCAAAGAGACAAAGAGGCAUCCCUUUCUCUACAUUUGAAUCCAGUAUGUUGGCUUCCUUUAAGGAAUUUCUAGCUGAAAUCUUAUCUGCAGUACUUGGACAAAUUCUGCUUCUUGCCAUUUGUCUGACAGCAAUGAAAUUUCAAAUAUGAUCCAGGCUGUGAAGUCUGGCCCUUGUCAGCUCCUGUUUUGACCUUUUCACUAUUCCCUGUUCUGGCUGACUGGCCAUUUGCCAGCCUCUCCUGGAGGUUGGUCAGGUUCUAAGGACUGGAAGAAUGGCAUCACCAGCUAACCAGCAAACCAACUAUUGAAAAGGUCAGGACAAGCAUGUCUGCUCUACAGCUGCAUAGAGAACCACACCAAUGUAUGCACAAAAUUUAGAUGGAUAGAGGCAACACUGUGAAAACAUUCUGUUCUAGUAUUAUUGCAACAAAAAUGAAGAAAUUUGAAUAAUAUUGAUUAUUUCACACUAGAGCACACUGAUGUAAAAACUUCCAUUUUAUAAUUAAAGUAUAUAGUAAUGGAAGGCUAUGACUGUUUCUAGCUUAUACUCAACACUGGAUUUUUUCAAGUAAGAAUUUUUGAAUAAGAUCCCCCUCAAAUAACUGAUUUUUCUUAUUUUG